rnacentral:misc_RNA from 1 species
AAGUCGUAACAAGGUUUCCGUAGGUGAACCUGCGGAAGGAUCAUUAUCGUGUUUUGUUCUUCUCCGAAAGGAAAGAACACAAACGUAUUCACCCACUUGUGAACUGUUCAAAACUCUAACCUUUUGGUAGUUGGAUGUUAAGGCUUGUCCUUACUUCUGACUAUUCAAAAGAGUAUUAUUUCAUUUUAACCAUUAUUCACCACUUGUAAUUGAUGUGCUAAACUAAAUCUUUUCUUUGAAAAGCUUCCGAGCUCUUUCAGAAAAGAAAGUACGAAAUUGCUGAACAACUCUUAGCAACGGAUAUCUUGGUUCUC